UGCGUAGGCGGUUCGUUAAGUCUGACGUGAAAUCCCUGAGCUUAACUUAGGAAUUGCAUUCGAUACUGGAAAGCUAGAGUAUGGGAGAGGAUGGUAGAAUUCCAGGUGUAGCGGUGAAAUGCGUAGAGAUCUGGAGGAAUACCGAUGGCGAAGGCAGCCAUCUGGCCUAAUACUGACGCUGAGGUACGAAAGCAUGGGGAGCAAACAGGAUUAGAUACCCUUGUA
rnacentral:rRNA from 1 species